GACGAACGCUGGCGGCGUGCUUAACACAUGCAAGUCGAACGGAAAGGCCCUGCUUUUGUGGGGUGCUCGAGUGGCGAACGGGUGAGUAACACGUGAGUAACCUGCUCUUGACUUUGGGAUAACUUCAGGAAACUGGGGCUACUACCGGAUCGGAGCUCCUGCUGCAUGGUGGGGGGUGGAACGUUUCGGCGGUUGGGGAUGGACUCGCGGCUUAUCAGCUUGCUGGUGGGGUAGUGGCUUACCAAGGCUUUGACGGGUAGCCGGCCUGGGAGGGGGACCGGCGACAUUGGUACUGAGAUACGGCCCAGACUCCUACGGUGGGCAGCGGUGGGGAAUAUUGCACAGUGGGCGGAAGCCUGAUGCAGCAACGCCGCGUGCGGGAUGACGUCCUUCUGGUUGUAAACCGCUUUCGCCUGUGACGAAGCGUGAGUGACGGUAAUGGGUAAAGAAGCACCGGCUAACUACGUG
rnacentral:rRNA from 1 species